rnacentral:rRNA from 1 species
CGAACGCUGGCGGCGUGCUUAACACAUGCAAGUCGAACGAUGAAGCUAGAGCUUGCUCUGGUGGAUUAGUGGCGAACGGGUGAGUAACACGUGAGUAACCUGCCCCGAACUCUGGGAUAACUGCUGGAAACGGUAGCUAAUACUGGAUACGACCAACGAAGGCAUCUUCUGUUGGUGGAAAGAAUUUCGGUUCGGGAUGGACUCGCGGCCUAUCAGCUUGUUGGUGAGGUAACGGCUCACCAAGGCGACGACGGGUAGCCGGCCUGAGAGGGUGAUCGGCCACACUGGGACUGAGACACGGCCCAGACUCCUACGGGAGGCAGCAGUGGGGAAUAUUGCACAAUGGGCGCAAGCCUGAUGCAGCAACGCCGCGUGAGGGACGACGGCCUUCGGGUUGUAAACCUCUUUUAGUAGGGAAGAAGCGAAAGUGACGGUACCUGCAGAAAAAGCACC